CAAUAGCAUAUAUUAACGUUGUUGCAGUUGAAAAGCUCGUAGUUGAACUUUUGGUAGGAGCGACCUGGCCUUGGGCGCAUGCCCUUGUUUGCCGUGUGUCGUGUCUGGCCGUCCUUUUCCGUUUCGGCGGGAAUCUUUUACUGUGAGUAAACUGGAGUGCUCAAAACAAGACGUUUGUUUGGUACAUUAAAGCAUGGAAUAAUAAGAUAGGACCUGGUUACUAUUUUGUUGGUUUGCAUAGCUAGGUAAUGAUUAACAGGGACAGUUGGGGGUAUUCGUAUUUAAUUGUCAGAGGUGAAAUUCUUGGAUUUAUGAAAGACGAACGACUGCGAAAGCAUUUACCAAGGAUGUUUUCAUUAA
rnacentral:rRNA from 1 species